GUGACCUCAAAUCAGGUAGGACUACCCGCUGAACUUAAGCAUAUCAAUAAGCGGAGGAAAAGAAACUAACAAGGAUUCCCCUAGUAACUGCGAGUGAAGCGGGAAAAGCUCAAAUUUAAAAUCUGGCAGCCUUUGGUUGUCCGAGUUGUAAUCUAGAGAAGUGUUAUCCGCGCUGGACCGUGUACAAGUCUCCUGGAAUGGAGCGUCAUAGAGGGUGAGAAUCCCGUCUUUGACACGGACUGCCAGGGCUUUGUGAUGCGCUCUCAAAGAGUCGAGUUGUUUGGGAAUGCAGCUCAAAAUGGGUGGUAAAUUCCAUCUAAAGCUAAAUAUUGGCGAGAGACCGAUAGCGAACAAGUACCGUGAGGGAAAGAUGAAAAGAACUUUGGAAAGAGAGUUAAACAGUACGUGAAAUUGCUGAAAGGGAAACGCUUGAAGUCAGUCGCGUUGUCCAGGGAUCAACCUUGCUUUUGCUUGGUGCACUUUCUGGUUGACGGGUCAGCAUCAAUUUUGACUAUUGGAAAAAGAUUAGGGGAAUGUGGCAUCUUUGGAUGUGUUAUAGCCCUUGGUUGCAUACAAUGGUUGGGAUUGAGGAACUCAGCACGCCGCAAGGCCGGGUUUAACCACGUACGUGCUAGAUGCGC
rnacentral:rRNA from 1 species